AGGCUUUAUCUGCUGUUUCUGUAUCAGCUUCAACUAGCCAUGGAGUUUUGGUUAGAUUUCGGUCACAGAUUCAAGCCAUUAAAAUAGUUUCUUUGCGCACAAAGGCAAGGAGAAGCUUGCAUAAAAAGACCUCUCCGCCAAACCUCGUACACUCAGCAACAGCAGCAGCAGAAACAGCAUACGGAUAGUUUUAGUCUCUGCCAAGAGUUAUAAAUGCAUUCCUACUUCUCCGUCAUACAGUCUUCCAGUUGUUAAUUCUUCUUGAAACUUAACAGUCAAGUCUCAUGCAGGAUUUGUACCUUUGAGUAGCCAUUGGGCAGUUCCUGAAUUAAACAACCAGAAGGCCUUCUUCUACAUCUUGAUAUGGAAGAAGGCCGCAAAUUGUCCAAAGAUACAUCAACCACAGCCCAAGUACCAUCGGAAUGUUGUUUACAAUACCUAACAAAGUAGUUUUCUCGUGUUGGAACCAGUGGUGAAGGCAC